AUUCUAUGAUGAAUUCCUUUCUUUCAGUUCUGCUUCUGCAAGCUCAUUGAAGAAAACCAUUUACCAUACCAAAAACAUCCUGAUCU
rnacentral:snoRNA from 1 species